CUAAUCGUUUCCCCAGAACUUCACACAAUGCCUGGCACCUGGUAGGUCAAAGAUGUGUUGACAAAUGAGAAGACAGAAUUCUAGAAUCUGCAAUAGAGGAAAGCCACCAGGGGUCAGAUGCCGAGUUCCGAAUCCAGUCUAGGGCAGUCAGAAGGCAACACGGACGGUGACAGGAGAAUGCCGAACCCCAGAAGCAGAGACAUCAACGACACCCCCAUACACACCUGGCCCUUACCUACAAGCCUCAGGUAUUAAUUCCAUCCAGACAACUCCAAAAAGACAGACCAAUCCCAAGAAGGCAACCAACGUCCUCUUUACUGCUUUUGCAUAGUGAGAC